rnacentral:rRNA from 1 species
AUUGAACGCUGGCGGAAUGCUUUACACAUGCAAGUCGAACGGCAGCACGGACUUCGGUCUGGUGGCGAGUGGCGAACGGGUGAGUAAUAUAUCGGAACGUAUCCAAUAAUGGGGGAUAACUAAUCGAAAGGUUGGCUAAUACCGCAUACGCCCUACGGGGGAAAGCUAGGGACCUUCGGGCCUGGCGUUAAUGGAGCGGCUGAUAUCUGAUUAGCUAGUUGGUGAGGUAAAGGCUCACCAAGGCGACGAUCAGUAGCUGGUCUGAGAGGACGACCAGCCACACUGGAACUGAGACACGGUCCAGACUCCUACGGGAGGCAGCAGUGGGGAAUUUUGGACAAUGGGCGCAAGCCUGAUCCAGCCAUUCCGCGUGAGUGAAGAAGGCCUUCGGGUUGU